GGCGACGUGAUCGUUCUGGGUGGGCGCCACGCCUGCAAAGCGUGAGAUGCGGGUUCGAGUCCCGACGUCGCCU
rnacentral:tRNA from 1 species